rnacentral:misc_RNA from 1 species
CUGCCAGUUCAAGUGCUU